rnacentral:lncRNA from 1 species
GACAGAGAACACUGAAGUACCUUCAUAAUAGCAUUAGGAGAGCAAUGCUCUGGAUUAGGUGCUCUGUUGGAAUUAGAAUCAAAAGAAUGUUCAUCUACACAGCUCUUACUUCUAUGAAUAUUGAUGAAGUGCAGGCUUCUGAGGUGAACUGCUGCACUAAUUCUACGAAGACAGCCUCAAAAUUGCACUCUCUCAGUUUGACACAUCUCCAGCAUGAAAUGGACUAAGAUUGCCAUGAAACUGAAAGCUGUGAGUGUGAAAAUUGAGAAAUGCAUAGACAAAUUCUCUUUCCUUUUUAAACAUAUGCUAGUGACUGAGUCCUCUUUUUUUUUUUUUUCCUCAUCCGCUUUCUAAAUUUUUGAUAAAUAUUACUACAAACAUCAACUAGAAAG